rnacentral:rRNA from 1 species
UACGAAGGGUGCAAGCGUUACUCGGAAUUACUGGGCGUAAAGCGCACGUAGGCGGCGAUUUAAGUCAGAGGUGAAAGCCCGGGGCUCAACCCCGGAAUAGCCUUUGAGACUGGAUUGCUAGAAUCUUGGAGAGGCGAGUGGAAUUCCGAGUGUAGAGGUGAAAUUCGUAGAUAUUCGGAAGAACACCAGUGGCGAAGGCGGCUCGCUGGACAAGUAUUGACGCUGAGGUGCGAAAGCGUGGGGAGCAAACAGG